AGAACAGGAAGAGGUGAGUCAGCUGGAAACUGAAGGCUGAGGCAGGACUGACUUCAGAUCAAAAGAUGAAUGAUUUGGAGGAAGAGGAGGACGGAGCAGAGUCUGUAGUAUCAGGCUGUCAGUCUACGAAGAGUGACCGGUCCAGAAGAAAACCUCCAGACUUUAGUAAAGAAUCUGGACCCUCAGACACAAAACUGACUUCAGAUCAGAAGAUGAGUGAUUUGGAGGAAGAGGAGGACAGAGC